GAUGAACGCUGGCGGCGUGCCUAAUACAUGCAAGUCGAGCGAACAGACGCGGAGCUUGCUCCUCUGACGUUAGCGGCGGACGGGUGAGUAACACGUGGAUAACCUACCUAUAAGACUGGGAUAACUUCGGGAAACCGGAGCUAAUACCGGAUAAUAUAUUGAACCGCAUGGUUCAAUAGUGAAAGACGGUUUUGCUGUCACUUAUAGAUGGAUCCGCGCCGCAUUAGCUAGUUGGUAAGGUAACGGCUUACCAAGGCAACGAUGCGUAGCCGACCUGAGAGGGGGAACGGCCACACUGGAACUGAGACACCGUACAGACUCCGACGGGAGGCAGCAGUAGGGAAGCGUCCGCGAUGGGCGAAAGACUGACGGAGCAACGCCGCGUGAGUGAUGAAGGUCUUCGGAUCGUAAAACUCUGUUAUUAGUGAAGAACAAAUGUGUAAGUAACUAUGCACGUCGUGACGGUACCUAAUCAGAAAGCCACGGCUAACUACGUG
rnacentral:rRNA from 1 species